CUUGUUUCCGGGCAAGAUGGAGCCGUUUUUGAGAGACCACUCUGAAAGAGCUAAAAUUCUAAUAGUGAUCCUUGAAUCAGGACACUUGACAGUGUCAGGCGGGUAGUUUUUCUGGGGCGGAAUCCUCCUAAAAAGUAACGGAGGUGCGCAAAGGUUCCCUCAGGCUGGACGGAAAUCAGCUGUAGAGUGUAAAGGCAUAAGGGAGCUUGACUGCAAGACCUACAAGUCGAGCAGGGGCGAAAGCCGGCCUUAGUGAUCCGACGGUACCGCGUGGAAGGGCCGUCGCUCAACGGAUAAAAGUUACUCUAGGGAUAACAGGC
rnacentral:rRNA from 2 species